rnacentral:rRNA from 1 species
UACGUAGGGCGAAAGCGUUGUCCGGAAUUAUUGGGCGUAAAGAGCUCGUAGGCGGUCCAUCGCGUCGGGAGUGAAAAGCUGGGGCUUAACCCCAGUCCUGCUUCCGAUACGGGUGGGCUAGAGGUAGGCAGGGGAGAACGGAAUUCCUGGUGUAGCGGUGAAAUGCGUAGAGAUCAGGAAGAACAUCGGUGGCGAAGGCGCUCUGCUGGACCAUAACUGACACUCAGGGACGAAAGCUAGGGGAGCGAAUGGG